AGAGUUUGAUCCUGGCUCAGGACGAACGCUGGCGGCGCGCCUAACACAUGCAAGUCGAACGAGCGAGAGAGAGCUUGCUUUCUCGAGCGAGUGGCGAACGGGUGAGUAACGCGUGAGGAACCUGCCUCAAAGAGGGGGACAACAGUUGGAAACGACUGCUAAUACCGCAUAAGCCCACGGGUCGGCAUCGACCAGAGGGAAAAGGAGCAAUCCGCUUUGAGAUGGCCUCGCGUCCGAUUAGCUAGUUGGUGAGGUAACGGCCCACCAAGGCAACGAUCGGUAGCCGGACUGAGAGGUUGAACGGCCACAUUGGGACUGAGACACGGCCCAGACUCCUACGGGAGGCAGCAGUGGGGAAUAUUGCACAAUGGGGGAAACCCUGAUGCAGCGACGCCGCGUGGAGGAAGAAGGUUUUCGGAUUGUAAACUCCUGUCGUUAGGGACGAUAAUGACGGUACCUAACAAGAAAGCACCGGCUAACUACGUGCCAGCAGCCGCGGUAAAACGUAGGGUGCAAGCGUUGUCCGGAAUUACUGGGUGUAAAGGGAGCGCAGGCGGGAAGACAAGUUGGAAGUGAAAUCCAUGGGCUCAACCCAUGAACUGCUUUCAAAACUGUUUUUCUUGAGUAGUGCAGAGGUAGGCGGAAUUCCCGGUGUAGCGGUGGAAUGCGUAGAUAUCGGGAGGAACACCAGUGGCGAAGGCGGCCUACUGGGCACCAACUGACGCUGAGGCUCGAAAGUGUGGGUAGCAAACAGGAUUAGAUACCCUGGUAGUCCACACCGUAAACGAUGAUUACUAGGUGUUGGAGGAUUGACCCCUUCAGUGCCGCAGUUAACACAAUAAGUAAUCCACCUGGGGAGUACGACCGCAAGGUUGAAACUCAAAGGAAUUGACGGGGGCCCGCACAAGCAGUGGAGUAUGUGGUUUAAUUCGA
rnacentral:rRNA from 1 species